UACGAAGGGGGCUAGCGUUGUUCGGAAUUACUGGGCGUAAAGCGCACGUAGGCGGAUACUUAAGUUAGGGGUGAAAUCCCAGGGCUCAACCCUGGAACUGCCUUUUAUACUGGGUAUCUUGAGUUCGAGAGAGGUGAGUGGAAUUCCGAGUGUAGAGGUGAAAUUCGUAGAUAUUCGGAGGAACACCAGUGGCGAAGGCGGCUCACUGGCUCGAUACUGACGCUGAGGUGCGAAAGCGUGGGGAGCAAACAGG
rnacentral:rRNA from 1 species